rnacentral:rRNA from 1 species
ACGGCUAACUACGUGCCAGCAGCCGCGGUAAUACGUAGGUACCGAACGUUGUCCGGAAUCACUGGGCGUAAAGGGUCCGUAGGCGGUUUGAUAAGUCUCAUAUGAAAACUUCAAGCUUAACUUGGAGAGGUUGUGAGAUACUGUCAAACUAGAGACUGUUAGAGGUAAGUGGAAUUCCAGGUGUAGUGGUGAAAUGCGUAGAUAUCUGGAGGAACACCAGUGGCGAAAGCGACUUACUGGGACAGUUCUGACGCUAAGGGACGAAAGCGUGGGGAGCGAACCGGAUUAGAUACCCGGGUAGUCCACGCCGUAAACGAUGAUUGCUAGGUUUUCGGGGCAUCGACCCCUCGUGAGCCGAAGUUAACGCGUUAAGCAAUCCGCCUGAGUAGUACGGCCGCAAGGCUAAAACUCAAAGAAAUUGACGGGGGACCGCACAAGCAGCGGAGCGUGUGGUUUAAUUCGAUGGUAAGCGAAGAACCUUACCAGGGUUUGACAUGUAAGUAGUACUGAACCGAAAGGGGAUGGACCCGCAAGGGAGCUUACACAGGUGUUGCAUGGUUGUCGUCAGCUCGUGCCGUGAGGUGUUGGGUUAAGUCCCGCAACGAGCGCAACCCUCUUUGUUAGUUGCACUCUCUAACGAUACUGCCCUUAAAAGGGAGGAAGGUGGGGAUGACGUCAAAUCAUCAUGGCUCUUACACCCUGGGCUACACACACGCUACAAUGGCAAGUACAGACGGUCGCCAACCCGCGAGGGGGAGCUAAUCCGAUAAAACUUGUCUCAGUUGGGAUUGUAGGCUGAAAUUCGCCUACAUGAACGUGGAGUUGCUAGUAAACGCAGGUCAGCACACUGCGUUGAAUACGUUCCCGGUCCUUGUACACACCGCCCGUCACGUCAUGGAAGUUGGUAACACUUGAAGUCAUUGCGCUAACCCUUUUGGGAGGCAGAUGCCGAGAGUGGGACUGAUGACUGGGACGAAGUCGUAACAAGGUAGCUGUACCGGAAGGUGCGGCUGG